CCCAUACAUGCGCGCAGACGCACACGCGUACGUGUCACGUCGACGGCUCAGCAGGAGAGUGUUGGCAGUCUCACCCCCGCUCCCCUCGCUAUUACACCCCUCCCCAUCCUUCCUGCGGGGCACACGUCACCUUCACGACGUGCUCUGAGGAAGUAGAGGAGCGAUCAAGGUCCAACAGUGCGGGAUGCUGCGGGUGUCGCUUUCGUCGUGCGUGCCAUGUCGCCUGCGUGGCAUUGCAAGGCCCACGUCCGGAAUGGUGGCCGCGGUGGUCGUCGUUGCGUCUUCGUCAGCGGUGUCCGAGAGACGGACAUCUCUCCCUGACUCACAGGUCUCCGCGCAGCGCUUCUGCAGUACGAGCGCCAGCGGCACCCAAGGUGCUUCCAGCAUCAGUUCGCCUCAUUGUUCCCCAUCGUCUCCACCCUCUACCCCAUCUGCUGCCCCGACGGAGGCAGCCACGUUGACUAACGGCGCCAUCUCGGGAGGCGUCUGCGGCAGAACGUGCCUGACUGCACACGGCACCUCCAUUGCCUCCCUCCGCGCUGCCUUUAACGGCAGCUGCGGUGAGAGUGGAUGCGUUCGCGAAGGCGACGAGGUCACCGUGCGGGCUCGCUUAGAGCGGACGCGCGGCCGCGGCAGGCUUGCCUUUCUCCACCUCCGGCAGCCGCCGCUGGAGUCCGUGCAGGCAGUGUGCGAGGGCAAGGAGCUGACGAAGCAGGCGAGGAGCAUUACGCCAGAGUCUAUUGUCGAUGUCACGGGCGUCGUGCGCCGCGCGGACACCCCUGUGCAGUCGACCACGUGCCGGGGGUGGGAGCUGCAGGUGACGGCGCUGCAUGUCGUCAGCCAGGCGGCCGCCCCGCUACCGUUUCCGUAUCACGACAUUAACGCAAAGCUGGACACCCGCCUCAACCACCGCGUUAUGGACCUCCGCACAGAAAAAAUGAUCGCGACGUCGCGGCUCGUGUCGGCCCUCGGGCAGAGCUUCCGCAACGAGCUUCUCGCACGCGAUUUCAUCGAGGUGCACACGCCGAAGCUGCUCGGGGCCGCGUCGGAGGGCGGCAGCAACGUGUUCCGGGUGGACUACUUUGAGCGCAAGGCGUACCUGGCGCAGUCACCGCAGCUGUACAAGCAGAUGAUGGUCAUGGGCGACGCGAUGCGGGUGUUUGAGGUCGGGCCGGUGUUUCGCGCCGAGAAUAGUCUGACGCAUCGGCACUUGACGGAGUUCGUUGGUCUCGAUGGUGAGAUGGUGGUCAAAGACAGUCACACAGAGGUGCUCGACGUGCUGGAGCCAGUCAUGUGCGCUGUUCUGGCGCACCUCACACAGCAGCACGGCAACCUUAUCGAUGCUCUCUGGAAGCAGCAACAGCAGCAAGGGGAAGGACUGCAAAACGGCGGCGGUGAUCCGCAACCUGCCACCGCUGCGGAGCCGCCUCGCUGUGGCAGUCGCGGUCACGCGCCGCGUGAUGUGUGCUGCGAGGUAGCACUAGAUCGCGUGACGUCCUUGGGGAUCACCACAGACGCCUCUCCGACGACGCGGACACCGUUCAAAAUCUCCGCGCAAGUUGAUCCUUAUCACGCUCGCGUGGGCGGAGACGGUAGUGGGUGCCGCGUGCUUCGCAUGAGCUUCGCAAACGCGUCGCAGCUGCUGGCGGGCUGCGGCGGCGCAGGGGCCAUGGCCGACUGCACACUGCCUGUUGAGGACUUUACGCUGCCGCAGGAGCGCCGCCUUGGCCAGCUCAUAAAAGAGCGCUACGGGGUUGACCUCUACGUGAUCGACAGCUUUCCUUCCUCUGCCAGGCCCUUUUACACGAUGCCGGUGGACCCAUCAACGCCGGACGGCCCAACGCGGAGCUACGAUAUGUACCUACGUGGGGAGGAGAUCUGCAGCGGUGCACAGCGUGUCCAUCAGAUAGAGCUGCUGGAACAACGGCUGUCGGCGAAGAAGGUGGACAAGGUGAGCGUGAAGGACUACGUCGACUCCUUCCGCUACGGCGCGUGGCCACACGGCGGCUUCGGCCUGGGACUCGAGCGCAUUGCCCUCUUCUUCCUCGGCCUCGACGACAUCCGGCAGGUGUCACUGUUCCCACGCGACCCGAAGCGGAUCAGCCCGUGAUGCCGCCCACCCUCCCGUCCCUUCUACCUCAGAGGAAAGGAGAGAGGCAAAUGAGGUGAUGGACUGAAGCAGUGCGUGCCCAGCCGUUUGGCGCUGUGACGCUUCGCCAACGCCCGCCUCGCACAUGCACACCAACAGACUCAGAGGUGGAUAGGGGAGUCGGCGGCGAUGUCUGCGAUCGUACGCUGUGUGUGUGUGCGGGUGUUUACGCCCUAUUCUCUCUGCCCCUCGCCCCCCAACUCUUACACACAUACACACACGCUUGUGCGCGCAUGCACGAGUGUGCUCCACAUCAUCAGAAAAGGUAAUCACCAAAAACGAACGAGGAGAACACGUGAGCCUCAGCCACGCCAAACCUCCCUCUCCACAGCAGCAGCACAAAUCCAACCCGCUCGUCAAGUAUUGUUGACGUGCGAGGAGAUGACAAGGGGGCCUUGCCUGUGGAAAGAUCGUUUCUCCCUUCCCGCUACCACCACCCCACUGCCAGGCCACGUGCAAGCAGGUGCGCGCACCGGUGAUGGGCGAUAACGAUGUGCGUCUCGUUGUGUGAGCUUGAGCGGUGCGGGAGAGACCGAGGGAAGGGAGGUGGCUGAGGGGGAGG
rnacentral:misc_RNA from 1 species